rnacentral:rRNA from 1 species
UGUGAUACACUCUCAACGAGUCGAGUUGUUUGGGAAUGCAGCUCCAAAUGGGUGGUAAAUGCCAUCUAAAGCUAAAUAUUGGCGAGAGACCGAUAGCAAACAAGUACCGUGAGGGAAAGAUGAAAAGCACUUUGGAAAGAGAGUGAAACAGUACGUGAAAUUGUUGAAAGGGAAACGCUUGAAGUCAGUCAUGCCCUUUGGGAUUCAGCCUUGCUUCUGCUUGGUUUACUUCUCUUUGGGUGGGUCAACAUCAGUUUGGGUCGGAGGAGAAAGACUUGGGGAAGGUGGCAGCAUUCGUGCUGUGUUAUAGCCCCUUGUUGUAUACUUCGAUUUGGACUGAGGACCGCAGCACGCCUUUGGCCGGGGCUCGCCCACGUACGUGCUUAGGAUGUUGGCAUAAUGGCUUUAAGCGACCCGUCUUGAAACACGGACCAAGGAGUCUAACAUGUGCGCGAGUGUUUGAGUGUUAAACUCAGACGCGAAAUGAAAGUGAAAGGUUGGGAACACUUAUGUGUGCACCGACGCCCGGAGCUGACCUUCUGUGACGCAUCUGCGGUAGAGCGUAUAUGUUGGGACCCGAAAGAUGGUGAACUAUGCCUGAAUAGGGUGAAGCCAGAGGAAACUCUGGUGGAGGCUCGUAGCGAUUCUGACGUGCAAAUCGAUCGUCAAAUUUGGGUAUAGGGGCGAAAGACUAAUCGAACCAUCUAGUAGCUGGUUCCUGCC